GAUGAACGCUAGCGGCAGGCUUAAUACAUGCAAGUCGAGGGGCAGCAGCUCUGUAGCAAUACAGAGGCUGGCGACCGGCAAACGGGUGCGGAACACGUACGCAACUUACCCAUAACUGAUGAAUAGCCCUCCGAAAGGAGGAUUAAUACAUCGUAACAUAAUGAGAUGGCAUCAUUUUAUUAUUAUAGCUCCGGCGGUUAUGGAUGGGCGUGCGGCUGAUUAGGUAGUUGGCGGAGUAAUAGCCCACCAAGCCAACGAUCAGUAACUGGUGUGAGAGCACGACCAGUCACACGGGCACUGAGACACGGGCCCCGACUCCUGCGGGAGGCAGCAGUAAGGAAUAUUGGUCAAUGGACGCAAGUCUGAACCAGCCAUGCCGCGUGAAGGAUGAAGGUCCU
rnacentral:rRNA from 1 species